rnacentral:rRNA from 1 species
UACGAAGGGGGCUAGCGUUGUUCGGAUUUACUGGGCGUAAAGCGCACGUAGGCGGAUCUUUAAGACAGAGGUGAAAUCCCAAGGCUCAACCUUGGAACUGCCUUUGAUACUGGGGAUCUUGAGUCCGGGAGAGGUGAGUGGAACUGCGAGUGUAGAGGUGAAAUUCGUAGAUAUUCGCAAGAACACCAGUGGCGAAGGCGGCUCACUGGCCCGGUACUGACGCUGAGGUGCGAAAGCGUGGGGAGCAAACAGG